GCCAGCCUCGCUGGACGUGAGCUUCCGGCCGCCGGGUCGGGUUGGCCGUGCCGCACCGCUGUACCUUUCUGGAAUGUGGGGCGACCUCCAGCUACCGAGAGCGGUCUCUUUGGUGAACGUGUUGCCCUAAGAGAAAAAAAAAUCUGUGCGCUCCCGGGGCCUGGCCCGAGCCAGACUCGCCCUUCUGGGAGCGAGCUGCCAGAUGGCAGGGACGGGAGACAAAGCUUACCCAGACGUGAACCCAGGGCUGCCUUUUUUAAAAGCGUCUGCCUGCGGUUUUCUGCCAGCCUAACUUGGCCCUUGGCUAAGGCAGGCGUCUACUCUCCCCUGGCCUCAACAUCAGGCAGCUGCGAGCCUUUCCACGUCCCUGGCCUGACGUGGCGCCUCCCUUAGACAUCACCAAGUGCUCCCAUUUCCACCCCAUUCUCACGCAGUGCUCAGAGCCACCAGGGCCUUCCUGGUGCCGUUCUGAUUCAGGCCUGUCCAUCACUAGGCAGUAUUACUUCUCACGAGUAUCGAGGCAUGUGAAUAUCUUUCCAGGACAGACAGGUUUCAAACGUUGAUGAGUUAUGGACAAAGCGAUUGUGAUUGACCAAAUAUCCUUAGGAUACUUUUAAAAGCUGGCAAGAUGGUUCAAAGGGUAAAAGUACUUGAUGCCCAACUAUGAGGACCUAGGUGAACCCCCAAACUCCACGUUUCUGUUACCUGUGUCUAUCCCAGAGCUCUGAAGACAAGACAGAAGAACCCUGGAAAGCUCCAGAAUCAACGAUCCUGGCAUAGGCACCUUAGAACAGUGAAGAAACCCUGUCUCAAACAAGCUUUGGAGACGGAGUUGUUUGCAGAGUGACCUCAGAUCUGCUCAGGAUUAGGAACUAGGAAGCAAACGGGUCACGAGAAUGACUUUUAAAUACUCGUCUGUGCUUCCCUGCUGCAGACCGACAGAGGCUCCGGGUUACGGCUUCCACAGAGAAAGCGAAGGUACAUACAAACAGUUGUGCCUUGUGGCUCAUGCUAUAGAAGGGAAAGGACCGCAGUCUAGGGGGGAAGAGAGACAAUAAACAAAACACACACGGGAAGAAUUCAAGUCUAUGUACAAAGUUAAAGGAUGGAGGAGGCAAUGGAGAUGAUCGGCAACACCAUGCACAAGGUCUUAGAUCCUGGAGUGUCUGUGAUGAAGCAAUCAAACAAAAAUCGCUUCAGGCCUAUACUAAAAGGCAUUUUACCUCAUCCUGAAGGCAAUGUGUUAUCAGAAAGGCCACUUCCUGGAGACAGCUGACUGGCUUUCAUGGUGGAGGACCGGAUGUGGUAUGCAGGUCUCCAGGGCAGUACU